CGCGUGGUGUUGCGUGUAUGUGCGUGUGUGUGCACCAGGUCGUGCUUGUUGUGUGUUUAAGUUCCUUUCGUCAUCCGUGUUCAUGGCAACGCGCAAAUUCUUUGAAUGAUUUAUUUUCUUAUUAUUCCGUGUUAUAUGAUGAUAUCAGGAGUAGAUAAUAGAGACUAUUGUCUAUUAUCUAUAUCAAUGAUCUCUAUUAUCUACUCCUGAUGAUAUCUAUGGCAAAUAAAUACCUAUUCGAGUUCCGAGUGGAACACGCACCUAACACGACGCGGCGCCACGGUCGCGUGGCAUCAACGAAUUUUCUAUCACACGCGUUCCAUCAUGGCUGCUCCCUAUGCGAAACAUCACUGAAAUGCACUCUUAGAUAAAAUAUAGAUGUCUAGGUCAUCUAUCUGUAUCGAGUAUUUCUCUGGUAAUAAACUCGAGUAUCAAAACUCUCACUUUAUAGUCGCCUGAAAUUACAUUAUUGUCACAAGCUCAUCAAAAUGGACGACGACGAUGAUAUUCCAACGUUAUCGCUUGCAGCAUCAAAUGCGUUGAAGGAGUUCUAUGCUGAACAGGCUUUGCUGAAAGCAGCUGUUGCUGAAGACACUUCAUCGCAGCAACUGCGCGUGGAUGAAGACUGGCAACUAAGUCAGUUUUGGUAUGAUGACGAAACAGCUACGACUCUUGCUCAGGAAUGUUUGCAGACGGUCUCACCAGGGGGCAG